AUACGGAGGGUGCAAGCGUUAUUCGGAAUCACUGGGCGUAAGGGACGCGUAGGCGGGUUGGCAAGUCAGAUGUGAAAUCCUACAGCUUAACUGUAGAACUGCAUUUGAAACUGCUAACCUAGAGUAUGGGAGGGGGAGAUGGAAUUAGUGGUGUAGGGGUAAAAUCCGUAGAUAUCACUAGGAAUACCGAAAGCGAAGGCGAUCUCCUGGAACAUAACUGACGCUAAGGCGUGAAAGCGUGGGGAGCAAACAGGAUUAGAAACCCUGGUAGUCC
rnacentral:rRNA from 1 species